rnacentral:misc_RNA from 1 species
GAAAUGCGAUACGUAGUGUGAAUUGCAGAAUUCAGUGAAUCAUCGAAUCUUUGAACGCACAUUGCGCCCUUUGGUAUUCCAAAGGGCAUGCCUGUUCGAGCGUCAUUUGUACCCUCAAGCUUUGCUUGGUGUUGGGCGUCUUUUUGUCUCUCCCCUUGUUGGGGGAGACUCGCCUUAAAACGAUUGGCAGCCGACCUACUGGUUUUCGGAGCGCAGCACAAAUUUGCGCCUUCCAAUCCACGGGGCGGCAUCCAGCAAGCCUUUGUUUUGUAUAACAAAUCCACAUUUUGACCUCGGAUCAGGUAGGGAUACCCGCUGAACUUAAGC